rnacentral:misc_RNA from 1 species
AUUUUUUUCUAAGAAGGCUUGCAUAAAAAGAAAAAUGACAUUUAGUACUGGAAGUAGGGCGGACUUUACCUAACCCUCAUGAAUUAUCAUCAUUUUGAGCCCAACUGAGAAAUGUAACACUUUCAUAUGUUAGCAAAAAGCAAGGAAAUCUUCCUCAAAGUUUCUGUUUUAUUAGAAUUGAAACAUCCAAAUAUCUGUAAGGAAAAGAAGUGUUCCUCAUCUUUAAUGGCUUACUUGGAGAGGCUAGUCUUCUUGAUCAGUUACGAACUCUUAAAGCAGGGCAUUCUUUUAUAGACUCGCUGAUGCAAAAUAAACAGAGAUGCCAACGUCAAAGACCCCUUUUCACCCUCUUAACUUAUCCACCGAUUUACUUCAAACUGAGGUCAAAUAAUGUUCUGCCAGACAAUUGCUGCAGCCUAAAGAUGUUCCCCACAUGAUCUUCUCUGUCUUCCAAAAAUGCUUGAUGGACUUCAAGGGGUUUGAAUCACCAGAAAUCUCCACAAGAACAAUUUCCAUCUUCGAAACAAUGGAAUCUAUUUGAAUCCCUCACAAUUAUUUUUCGGCUAGCAAUCUUUGAGAUAAACUUAAUUGCGGUGUGGCAGUCUACACAAGUUCUUAAAUUCUUAAAAACUUUUAUCGGUGUUCCUUGUGGAGUAGCAAUAAUUCCAAAAGCCACUGCAAGCUUCUCACUGUGGUAAGAGAGAUUUUCCUCUUUCUGUUCCUCCUCCACAUCAUGCAGCACAAAAUUCGUGUCAGGAACAAACCCUUCUUCCUUCAUCCUUUUAGAAAGCUCCCCCAAAAACUGAUGUAUUUCAGUGGAUCUUGGGUGGGAAGGAUCUCCCACUAAGAAGACAUGUACCUUUCUCUUAAUCUCAAUCCAGCUCAAACCUGGUUUCUUUACCACUCCUCGGUCAUCCAUAGUUUUUCUGAUCUUUGCUACUUCACUCCACAUACCGGCAGUGGCAUAUAUGUUAGCCAUUGUAACAUAAGUAGCAGGAUUCUCAGGCUCUAUCUCAAAUAACGCUUCUGCUGCCCUUUUUGCCAGUUUAAGAUUUCUGUGAAUUCUACAACCACCUAACAAAGAUGCCCACAGAAACUUAUCAGGCUGCAUGGGCAUUUUAUCAAUAAUAUUUUCAGCUUCUUCAAAACGACCAGAUCGGGCCAAUAAAUCAAUUAUACAAGCAUAAUGAUCAGCAGUAUGAGUUAAGCCAUGUUCCUUAUUUAUAGAGUGAAAAUACUGAAGCCCUUCAUCAACUAAUCCAGCAUGAGCACAUGCAGAAAGAACACCAACAAAAGUUAUGUGAUCAGGCUGUGUCCCGGACUUUAGUAGCAACUCAAAAUAAUUUAGGGCCUCAUUAGGAUGACCAUUCUGAGCAUAACCAGCAAUUAAGGAAGUCCAUGAAACCAAAUCUGGCCUGGGCAUCCCUCUAAACACCCUUUCUGCAUUUACCAUAUUCCCACACUUAGAAUACAUGUGAACAAGAGCACUUCCUGCAAAUGAGAAUGGGUCAAAACCAAUUCUAGUCAUGUGCCCAUGAACCUGCUUACCAACCUCCUCAUCACUAAGAUCAGCACACGCAUUUAAAACCCCAGCAAAUGUAAAUUCAUUAGGCCUAAUCCGUGACCUCAGCAACUCAGCGAACAAAUCAAACCCCUCUUCUCUUCUUCCGCCCUCAAAGUACUUAUCAAUCAUUGCUGUCCAAGUAACAACAUCUCUAUUCACCAUCUUGUCAAAAAUGUGCCUUGCUUCCUCUAUGCUCCCACAUUUACCAUACAUAUCAGAUAAAGCGCUCCAAACCACCUCAUCCGAAUCCAACCCGGUUCUCAUGAUAUGACCAUGAAUCUCUUUCCCAAUUCUCAAACAUGGAACUGCUGCCGCUGCAGCAAGAGCACUAGAAAUUGUAAACUUAUUUGACUUUGAAUUAUCAUGUCUCUUCAUCAUUCUACACAAUUCUAAAGCCUCAUUUGGCUUAUCAUGCCUCACAUACCCAGAAAUCAUUGCCGUCCAAGAAAAAUUGUCCCUCUCAGGCAUUUUAUCAAACAUUUUUCUUGCCUCAUCAAGUAACCCCAUUUUGGCGUACCCAGAAAUCAAAACAUUCCACGAGCACAAGUCCCUUUCAGUCAUUUCAUCGAACAUCUUCUGAGCAUUAUAUAAACUAUUACAUUUGGCAUACAUUUCAAGAAGCCGGUUCGAUAUAACCAGACCUGGUACAAACCCAGAUAGUUUAAUGUGCUCAUGAACCGUUUUCCCCACUUCAAGAGCACGGUUUUGGAUGCAAGAUUGUAUAAGAGUCGAGUAAAUAGAAGCAGAAGGUUUGUCCAAUUGAUUGAGCACUUGUAUCGCUUCUUUAAAGCGCUUUUCUUGGCACAAAAUGUCAAUGGCGUCUUUGAAUCUUCUAUCCUUGCAUAAGGAAUUUAUGAGGCCUUCUUUGGUGUCUAAUUUGAAGAAGGCUUUAUGGGUAAGAGGCUUAUAAGAAUGGGUUUGAGAAGAAUAAGGAGAUGUAACGAUUUUGUUUAGGUUUAGCAGAGGGAGAGAUCGGGAGAAUUUCAAGCUUAGAUAUUCCAUGGUUUUGGAGGGAACGCCGGAGCAGAGCCAACGCUUAACAAGAGCGGAAAG